AGAGUUUGAUCCUGGCUCAGGACGAACGCUGGCGGCGUGCUUAACACAUGCAAGUCGAACGGAAAGGCCCUGCUUUUGUGGGGUGCUCGAGUGGCGAACGGGUGAGUAACACGUGAGUAACCUGCCCUUGACUUUGGGAUAACUUCAGGAAACUGGGGCUAAUACCGGAUAGGAGCUCCUGCUGCAUGGUGGGGGUUGGAAAGUUUCGGCGGUUGGGGAUGGACUCGCGGCUUAUCAGCUUGUUGGUGGGGUAGUGGCUUACCAAGGCUUUGACGGGUAGCCGGCCUGAGAGGGUGACCGGCCACAUUGGGACUGAGAUACGGCCCAGACUCCUACGGGAGGCAGCAGUGGGGAAUAUUGCACAAUGGGCGGAAGCCUGAUGCAGCAACGCCGCGUGCGGGAUGACGGCCUUCGGGUUGUAAACCGCUUUCGCCUGUGACGAAGCGUGAGUGACGGUAAUGGUAA
rnacentral:rRNA from 1 species